rnacentral:rRNA from 1 species
AAGACCUUGCACUUUUGGAGCGGCCGAUGUCUGAUUAGCUAGUUGGUGGGGUAAUGGCCUACCAAAGCUUCGAUCAGUAGCUGGUCUGAGAGGACGGCCAGCCACACUGGGACUGAGACACGGCCCAGACUCCUACGGGAGGCAGCAGUGGAGAAUUUUGGACAAUGGGCGCAAGCCUGAUCCAGCCAUGCCGCGUGAGUGAAGAAGGCCUUCGGGUUGUAAAGCUCUUUCAGCCGGGAAGAAAAGGUUGCGACUAAUAAUCGCAAUCCAUGACGGUACCGAAAGAAGAAGCACCGGCUAACUACGUGCCAGCAGCCGCGGUAAUACGUAGGGUGCGAGCGUUAAUCGGAAUUACUGGGCGUAAAGGGUGCGCAGGCGGUUUUGUAAGUCAGAUGUGAAAUCCCCGGGCUUAACCUGGGAACU